rnacentral:rRNA from 1 species
GACGAACGCUGGCGGCGUGCUUAACACAUGCAAGUCGAGCGGUAAGGCCCUUUCGGGGGUACGACGAGCGGCGAACGGGUAGGAGUAACACGUGGGUGGACCUGCCCUCCAGCUCUGGGAGUAGGCCUGGGAAACGUAGGGUCGUAAUACUGGAUAUGACUCCACGGUGCAUGUCGUGGGGUGGAAAGCCUUGUGCGGCUGAGGAUGGGCCCGCCGGCCUAUCAGCUUGUUGGUGGGGUGGAUGGCCUACCAAGGCGACGACGGGUAGCCGGCCUGAGAGGG